UUAAAGACGUUGAGCGAGAAACAGCGAUGAGGCCGAAGCAAGAGAGCUGGUGGGUGGUGUGAACCAGUGAGAGGCCGCACCUACUAAUCACUCGUGAGUCGUACGCCGAACGGAUUCCCUAGUAGAGCGUAUUGGUAGCACCCAUUACCGUGCCGGCUAAUACCACAUUAUUUGUGGCGGUUGGUUGAGGCGACAUUAUGUCGUAAAGAAAGGUGGUACCACGCACAAGCGUCCUUUUU
rnacentral:ncRNA from 1 species